GGGAAGGAUAGUGUUUUUCGUUCUUUGUUGAAGCGGGUCGGCCGUGGGAUUGGGAUCGGGAGGGGGUUCCCACCCUCGCCCCCUGGGGCAGGGAGCCAGGGACGGAUUAUUCUCUGCGGGGCGACGACAACAGUUUCCUUUCGGGUUGCUACAUCGACCCCACUCCAGCCUCCUCCCGCUGUCAGACCCGUCCUGAGCCGGUGAGAGUUAGUGUGACCCAGACUGCGGCAGUCCCGCUCUACCCCGGCUCACCCGGCCCUGUCCAUCUGUAAUGAGUGACCACUCCCACCCCCUCCCGCUGUCAGACCCGUCCUGAGCCGGUGAGAGUUAGUGUGACCCAGACUGCGGCAGUCCCGCUCUACCCCGGCUCACCCGGCCCUGUCCAUCUGUAAUGAGCGACGGACACAUCACAGCCGAGUGUCCUCGGGAGCAGCAGCUCAGACUCAACUCUCCGUAUAGAGUGAGCACACCGGUGCAGGACCAUUGUUGGUCACCGGGGAAGUCAGACUGUGAUUUGCUGGGAUCACACUGAACGUCGGCCGGUUAAACAUCAGAGGGUUGCUACAUUGACCCCACUCCCGCCUCCUCCCGCUGUCAGACCCGUCCUGAGCCGGUGAGAGUUAGUGUGACCCGGACUGCGGCAGUCCCGCUGCACCCCGGCUCACCCGGCCCUGUCCAUCUGUAAUGAGCGACGGACACAUCACAGCCGAGUGUCCUCGGGAGCAGCAGCUCCGACUCAACUCUCCGUACAGAGUGAGCACAUCGGUGCAGGAACAUUGUCGGUCACCCGGGAAGUCAGACUGUGAUUUCCCGGGACCACACUGAACGCCGUCCGGUUACAACAUCAGAGAACUGCCGCUCACUGAUCUUCUUCCGCGUCAUUCUCCGCAAAACUGAGACUGUUGAACGGGACAAUCCCAGGAGUUCAGCAGUUCCUGCGAUAUACAAACUGCUCCCUCUGGCACCGACAAACAUUCCACUCUCAAAAUCACCGAGAUCACAUUUCAUCUGCAUGGUGAUGUUUGUUUGGAGACAGAACGUACCCUGUGCUAAGGAACAGGAGGCGGAGAGACCCGCUGGUAAAGCUGUGGGUCUCGUUAAUGAUUAUCACCAGGAGCUGACUGAACAUUAACCAGGGUGUGUUCAUUACUUACUGAACCCGUAAUACUGCCUCACUGGGACAGGGUGGUAACAGAACCUGGAGCCGCAGUACAAAGUAAGGAGCUGUGGAUAUUGAUAUAUAAACAUCACAAAGGCAGUUAGCCACUUAAAUGAAACUGAGAACUUAUUGGGUUGUUCAACAAUUGAACUGUAGCGAAUCACUUUUGAAAGAAUUAAU